rnacentral:rRNA from 1 species
UAGGGGUGAAAGGCUUAACAAAUCUGGAGAUAGCUGGUUCUCCCCGAAAACUAUUGAGGUAGUGCCUUGUAUAUGAGCUUCUGGGGGUAGAGCACUGUUAUAGCUAGGGGGACAUGGCGUCUUACCAAACUAUGGCAAACUCCGAAUACCAGAAAGCUUCGUACAGGAGACAGAGCACCGGGUGCUAACGUCCGGACUCAAAAGGGAAUCAACCCAGACCGCCAGCUAAGGUCCCUAAUAUCAGCUAAGUGGAAAACGAAGUGGAAAGGCUAAAACAGUCAGGAAGUUGGCUUAGAAGCAGCCAUCCUUCAAAGAAAGCGUAAUAGCUCACUGAUCGAGUCCUUCCGCGCGGAAGAUGUAACGGGGCUAAGUUGAUAACCGAAGCUGCGGAUUCAUACUUUUAGUGUGAGUGGUAGGGGAGCGUUCUGUAAGCCUGCGAAGGUGGAUCGUAAGGUCUGCUGGAGGUAUCAGAAGUGCGAAUGCUGACAUGAGUAACGAUAAAGCGGGUGAAAAGCCCGCUCGCCGCAAACCCAAGGUUUCCUGCUCUACGUUAAUCGGAGCAGGGUGAGUCGGUUCCUAAGGCCAGGCUGAGAAGCGUAGCUGAUGGAAAUCAGGUUAAUAUUCCUGAACCGGCGUUGAAUGCGAUGGGGUGACGGAGCAGCCAGAGUGGACCGGGUGUUGGAUGUCCCGGCUUCCGAGCGAUGGGUGCCUGCAGGCAAAUCCGCAGGCGUAUACCCAGGACGAAGGAUCGGGUCUUCUUUUGAAGACGAAGCCACUGGAAGCGCUUCCAGGAAAAACCUCUAAGCUUCAGUUCAACGGCGACCGUACCGUAAACCGACACAGGUGGGUGAGCUGAAUAUGCUCAGGCGCUUGAGAGAACUCGGGAGAAGGAACUCGGCAAAUUGACACCGUAACUUCGGAAGAAGGUGUGCCUUUGUAGCUUGAUGGGAGAGAAACCCAAAGGGCGAAGAGGUCUCAGAGAAUCGGUGGCUGUAACUGUUUACUAAAAACACAGCGCUCUGCAAAGAUGAAAGUCGACGUAUAGGGCGUGAUGCCUGCCCGGUGCUGGAAGAUUAAUUGAUGGGGUGCAAGCUCCUGAUCGAAGUCCCAGUAAACGGCGGCCGUAACUAUAACGGUCCUAAGGUAGCGAAAUUCCUUGUCGGGCAAGUUCCGACCUGCACGAAUGGCAUAAUAAUGGCCACACUGUCUCCUCCCGAGACUCAGUGAAAUUGAAAUGUUUGUGAUGAUGCAAUCUCCCCGCGGCUAGACGGAAAGACCCCAUGAACCUUAACUGUAGCUUUGCAUUGGACUUUGAACCGAUCUGUGUAGGAUAGGCGGGAGGCUUUGAAGAAUGGACGCCAGUUCAUUCGGAGCCGUCGUUGAAAUACCGCCCUGAUUUGUUUGAGGUUCUAACCUGGGCCAGUAAUCCUGGCUGGGGACCGUGCAUGGUGGGCAGUUUGACUGGGGCGGUCUCCUCCUAAAGGGUAACGGAGGAGUGCGAAGGUACGCUAAUCACGGUCGGAAAUCGUGAGGAUACUGCAAUGGGAAAAGCGUGCCUGACUGCGAGACAGACAAGUCGAGCAGAUGCGAAAGCAGGUCAUAGUGAUCCGGUGGCUUCUGCAUGGAAGGGCCAUCGCUCAACGGAUAAAAGGUACUCUGGGG